rnacentral:lncRNA from 1 species
GCUUGAGUAUCUCCAUUGCCAUAUCUUAAAUAAAUAGUCAAUGGUGUUUCUCCAUUCUCCACCAGCAAGUUACAUAUAAACCAGUCUAACUGCACUAGCAUCCUGUUUCCUUUGAUUUCUUUGUAUACUAAAUUAAAGUUUGUUUAACCUCAAUGGUCGAUGUAUUGUCAAAUUAAUCUUGUAUUUAAAGCAAUUUGUUGUCAAUUGAUGAAGAAUUAGUUACUAGUCUUUUUCCUGUCACAACUUGCAUAUAUAUAUGACCUAUCUCCAUCCACUGUAGGAUUCUUUUCCUUCUUGUUCUUUUGGUACACGUCACAAAACUCAUUACAUACGGAAUAUAUCACUUCAGACCAGAUAGACUAUGACAAGGGAUCGUAAAGUCAAAUUCAAAUGUUAAAUAUAUUAUAUAAAAACGGCGCAAGUUAUUAUUAAAUAAAGUAUCAAUGCCAAAAACUUCCACUCAGCAAGUAAUCAACUCAUCACUCUGGCUAUAAAAACUUUUCAGUGUUUUUCUUUAAGGAAUUUAAUGAUUCACAUCCAAUAUUUCCUUCCAUUCCAAUUCUACCUACUUUCUCUUCUUAACUCUUAGUUAUAAUUCUCCAACUUGUAAAUAGAAAGGAUGAAACUCCACUUGACAAAGAUAUGAAUGAAACAUAUAUGAGCAAGAAGAAUAUCUUUGGCUAAACGUAUAAAGUCUUUUGUGAUCUUUUUGAUCUGGAUUCUCCUCUUCAACUUGCUAGCCAUUGUCCUGCUUCACUUGUGGUUCAUAAUGGAACGAGUCACGCUAUCUUUAGAGUCCUUAUAUUCCUCCACCAACAGGCUUAACAUAACCCCACAAUUGCACUUUUCCUCCUACUUAUAUAUAAGGAACUCACUUGUUCACACCUCUUCCCCAUACCUUCACUUGAUUCAGAAGUCAGAACCCAUCUUGAAUUUUGUGACUAAAAUAACCAUUCCAAUUCUCUCAUCUUCCUUGACUCAAAUAAUCAUUUUUUUGUGUAACGAAAUGGGAUCAUCAUGGACACCAAGGCAGAACAAAAUGUUUGAGCAGGCACUGGCUUUAUAUGAUAGGGAAACCCCUGACAGGUGGCAGAAUGUUGCAAACAUUGUGGGAAGAUCAGUUGAGGAGGUGAAAAGGCACUAUGAGAUCCUCAAAGAAGAUGUGCAACGCAUUGAGCAUGGACAAGUCCCAUUUCCUCGUUACAGAACAAACUCCAACUCCUAAGUCAUUGAUUGCCAAACAACAGCACAGAGGUACCAGUCUAUUCUUUAUUUAUUUUUACGACUCGAAACGACAAUGACUGAAUCUCAGUGUAUCGUAGCUGUAAAGUCAGUUUGCAUGUCCCUUAUAAUACCCGAUCGUGUAUUUAUAUGUUCUUGCAUUUUGAUUAUUUCUGCAGUUUCUUUGUCAUACAAAAACAAUCCAUAACCAUAACAACCUUAGUUAUUAUGCUGUUAAAUUUGCAUUAUAUAUGCAGAAAAUCUAGCAUUUUUAAUGUCAUGUAUGUAAUGUUUACAUGUGAUGUGACUGACUAUCUGCAAGAAGUUUACCUUAAUAAAAUCUCAAUUAGUGUUUGCACUAUGAUUGCCAUGUACUUAAAGUACUACAUGCUGUGGGGGUCCAUCGAAUAGAAAGUUGUAGAAAACUUCUAUCCUGUCUAUUGGCCCUACAUUUGCUAGCUAGUUCAAACAAAUUGCCAUGUGCUUUGAGAAAAAGACAAGCGAUAAAAGAACUUGAACCCUGCUUUUCUAUCUAAAAUCUAAGUGAGUGUCUUGUAGCUUGUUCUAUGAUCUGUGCAAUUAACUUUAGUAGCCUUCCAUUUCAUCACUUUAUUUUGCUUUUGAAAAUUUUGGCAUCAAGUUCUUUGUAUACAUAACCAUUUCUGCAGCAGACUUAUAACAUUCCUCUUUUCUUUACAUCGCAGGUUCAUGAAGAUCCACUUUCCAACAAGCUUGAGUAUCUCCAUUGCCAUAUCUUAAAUAAAUAGUCAAUGGUGUUUCUCCAUUCUCCACCAGCAAGUUACAUAUAAACCAGUCUAACUGCACUAGCAUCCUGUUUCCUUUGAUUUCUUUGUAUACUAAAUUAAAGUUUGUUUAACCUCAAUGGUCGAUGUAUUGUCAAAUUAAUCUUGUAUUUAAAGCAAUUUGUUGUCAAUUGAUGAAGAAUUAGUUACUAGUCUUUUUCCUGUCACAACUUGCAUAUAUAUAUGACCUAUCUCCAUCCAC